GGGGUUGUAGCUCAGUGGUAGAGUACUUGCCUCACAUAUAGGAGGUACUGGGUUUGAUCCUCAGCAACACAU
rnacentral:tRNA from 1 species